rnacentral:snRNA from 1 species
UAUUUCUGGCUCCUCUGCAUUUAACCGAGAAAAGCUUUCGCCUUUUACUAAAGAUUUUCGUUCAGAGGUGCAAUUAUGAGUAUUGCGUGCUAAAAAUGAUUCUUCAAACAGCAGGAAGAC